rnacentral:rRNA from 1 species
UAGCCGUAAACGAUACUCGCUAGGUGUCGGCCACGGUGCGACCGUUGUCGGUGCCGUAGGGAAGCCGUGAAGCGAGCCACCUGGGAAGUACGGCCGCAAGGCUGAAACUUAAAGGAAUUGGCGGGGGAGCACCACAACGGGUGGAGCUUGCGGUUUAAUUGGAUUCAACGCCGGAAAUCUUACCGGGACCGACAGCAACAUGAAGGCCAAGCUGAAGACUCUGCAUGACUAGCUGAGAGGUGGUGCAUGGCGUCAGUGACU